CCCAGACUCCUACGGGAGGCAGCAGUGGGGAAUAUUGCACAAUGGGGGAAACCCUGAUGCAGCAACGCCGCGUGAAGGAAGACGGUUUUCGGAUUGUAAACUUCUGUUCUUAGUGAAGAAGAAUGACGGUACCUGAAGAAGAAGCCCCGGCUAACUACGUGCCAGCAGCCGCGGUAAUACGUAGGGGGCAAGCGUUAUCCGGAUUUACUGGGUGUAAGGGGGGCGCAGACGGCGAUGCAAGCCAGGAGUGAAAGCCCGGGGCCCAACCCCGGGACUGCUCUUGGAACUGCGUGGCUGGAGUGCAGGAGGGGCAGGCGGAAUUCCUGGUGUAGCGGUGAAAUGCGUAGAUAUCAGGAGGAGCACCGGUGGCGAAGGCGGCCUGCUGGACUGCAACUGACGUUGAGGCCCGAAAGCGUGGGGAGCAAACAGGAUUAGAUACCCCUGUACU
rnacentral:rRNA from 1 species